CUUUGGCGAAUAAUUGUUAAAUAUGCAUAUUAUAUACAUAUAUUUUUUCCGGGUGUUAAACAACGGUUGGCACCAUAAAGUUUUAAUUUGGGUUGCUGAUACCCAGUCAAAUGAAGUGUCUAAAGUUCAAGCCAAAUAUGGAGUGGGGGAUCAAACCACACUGCUUGUUGUGGUCCCAUCCCAAAUUCCACAGUGCUUGGAAAUUGUAAAUG